UUAAAUUGAAGAGUUUGAUCAUGGCUCAGAUUGAACGCUGGCGGCAGGCCUAACACAUGCAAGUCGAACGGUAACAGGAAAGCAGCUUGCUGCUUUGCUGACGAGUGGCGGACGG
rnacentral:rRNA from 1 species